ACUACUUGACAAUGCCUUUUGGCUACCCAGGUGUGUUUUGGGACCUUCCCACCCUAUGCCAUAAACCCCUAUGGUGCAGGGGCCAGCAGCAGCAGCGAAAAAGUGUCUGCAUAGGAAUAAGAAAUUCAGCCCCUUCUGUAGCAUUUAUCCCAUGACCUGUGGCACAAAGUUUGAUUCCUUGGAGUCCACAGACAACAGCACCAAGACGGGAUGACUGAAACCCACCACAUCAUGAAACUAAGAGUAAAGAGAAAGCUGGAGAUGCUAGUUGUACUUUUGGAAAGUAAAUGGAAACAUACU